rnacentral:lncRNA from 1 species
UGCAUGUUUUUCCUUGCUAUUAACAUUUUAAAAUAAUUGAGAUAGAGAACAAAAAUCCAAUGACUGUGUAUCCUUCCAGAGUGCCUAGCAUAGUGCCAAUGACUUCAACACAGAAGAACUAGUUAUCAUUAAUACAUGGCAGACCUCAAAGGUCCACACAAUUACUUGGUGUGUGGCCUAUCUUUUCUUUUAUUUCUGGAAGUAAGGUUACACAAUAUAGCAGACUAUUUGAGCUCUGCUUUGUCCAACAUGCUGUGAGACACUUGACAGAUACAGAUUUAAACUAGGUAACAUGAACCCUCAAAUAGUUAAGUGGUUUAGUGUGUGUGUGUGUGUUCCUCUAAUGAAUAAUUAACAGAAGCAAUUUGAGAGACUCACCCAUCGUAAUGUGCUAAGAAUGGCAUUUGGGUUUGAUUUCUCUUCUGUGUUUCUUCUGAAAGCAUUCACACACCAGCCACCAUCCUUGAUACUACGUUUAUAGGUAUGUCAUGUCUGGAGCCUCUGAGGUGGAAAUUAUGACAGUUGUUCUAGAAGCAGUGAUAGAAAGAUAAUUAAAAAAUAAUUAACAAGAAUAAUUAGCAUGGGGCCAGGGGAGGGGAGCUUUUAUUUUAUCAGCUAGACUGAUCUGAUUAAAUGUGUAUAGAACACAGCAAGCCAAGUAUCUUCACAUGGCAAUGUGGAAGAAACAACGAUUUUUUCGUGUUUAAUUUAUUUUCCUGCUAUUCCUUCCCCACCAAAAAUCAGCAAGGAGUAGUCACUGUGAUCCUCAUUGCCUUUUAAAAAUUCCAUUCAGCAUCUCUCACAGCAUAUUUCCAUUUGAUUGAAGACAUAACUGCACAGCUCCAACGAAAACACAGAAGGAACAUCAGGAUCUGUGAGCAUAAUGCUUCUGGGGUUGUGUAUUAGGUGAUUACUUUGGCACUAGCUAAGGAGAAAAGAAAGGGAAACACAAAGGCAGUAAGCAGCCAUCGAAUUUUCACUUGUUUUUGCUUAUCAUGUUUUAGUUUCCUGAAAGCAAGCCUAAACUAUAUAAACUAUAUUUCCUGAAAGCAAGACUAAAGAAUAGAAGCAUUAACACUCACUUUCAGCCAGUAAGGUGUUCUCAGCACUGAUUGUCUUUUAAUUGGACAAGACAGUAUACAAUUCUAUCCAGUAAUUUCCCUGUUACAGGGAAGCUGUACAUGUUCAAGAAUGGCCCCCUGCUGAGAGAAAGCCCUUAGUUAAACAAGCUAGUCAGCUAGGAAAACCACGUGCUGGGGUGAGACAGACUGGGCAGGAACCCUAGCCUUGGUCACACAUCUCUACUAGUUGAGUGGCCUUGAGUGGAGUGCUUUCUCUCCUUGAUCUGAAACUGUCUAAUUAAAAUAGUGGUAACAGUACCUAACCAGCCUGAUGUUGGAAUAAUCAUAUAUUUGAGUGCUAUGCUUCUGUCACAAUACUUGUUUUCAUUAUCAGGUUCCUUAACCUCUCAGAACCUGCUCUCCCACCUGCAAAAUGUAGGUAUCACUAAUCUCAUAGGUUUAGAAUGAGAAUUAAAUAAGGCCCCUAAGAAAAUUACCUCCCCAAGCUAUAUCGUUUAUCAAAACCAACUUGGGUAAAAAAUUAUGGAAUGGUAGAAGAUAACUAAAUUCUUGACUUACAUUUAUUGAGAGGGAGGGGAAAAAAGAGAAAGAUAUGAUACAGCUAUAGUAAUAGGCAUCAGAAUAUGGCUUUGAAACACAUGUGUUUCAAAGAUCUGAAUAUAGUAUUAUUUGGUAAUUUGUAUUUGCUUAUUUGCUUUUUGUUUUGUUCAUUUGCUUAUUUUUAACAUAUGCAGGAAACUAAGUUGUGUCCUAAGCACUAGAUAUUUGUUAAGGCAUAAAAAUAUAAUUAGCACAUCAUCACACUAUUCUGUUUCUCCCAGAACUUGAUAGCACUGAAAUGAAGAAAUAGAGUAAAUGAAGUGGGUGAAGGCUUUAACAGUGAUUGUAAUGGUAGGCAGAAAAUAAUUUAUAAUGAUUUGGAUUCUUCAGAUGAGUUUCUCAGAUGCAAUUUGCCUAGAGGAUAUUUGAGAUGAAAAUGCAGAAAGAACAGGCAACCAAUCACAUUAGAGGGUGUGAGAACGGCUGACCUGUCUGAAGUUCACAUCACAGAGUUUCAUCUCAGAAACUUCACUCCCCAGGAGCCAUGGGUCCUCUAAGGGGUCACUUGAUUAUAGCAGAAUCCAGCCAUGGCUGGCAUAGCCUAGAUAACUUCACUAGACUCAUGAUAUCUAUUUAGCAUGACGUAUCCAUUCAUUUAACAAAUAUUUUUGAGCCACUCAUUGUCCUUCUGGACUUGUAGUCUGGUGGGAGAAGAGGCAGAAAAGGGCUAUCUCAAGUCUAGCUCAGAUAAAUAAACAUAAGGGCCCCAAUAUUUAUUGCAUCACUCUUUGCAUCACAUAGCCAGGACAUGGAAGCAACCUAAACAUCUAUCAAGAAAGGAAUGAAUAAAGAAUAAGUGGCACAUUUAUACAGUGGAAUAUUAUUCAGCCAUAAAAAGGGAUGAAAUUGUGCCAUUUACAGAGAUGUAGGUGGACCUAGAAGCUGUCAUACAGAACGAAGUCAGAAAGAGAAAAACAAAGAUCAUAUAUUAAUGCGUAUAUAUGGAAUCUAGAAAAAUGGUACAGAUGAACUUAUGUGAAAAGCAGAAAUAGAGACAUAAAUGUAGAGAUAAACAUAUGGAUGACAUUAGCUCUGAAAAUGUCUUAGCUAUAUAUUGGGAUGAAUUAGGAGAUUGGGAUUGACAUAUACACACAACUAAAUAUAAAAUAGAUAGCUAAUGAGAACCUAGUGUGUAGCAUAGGAAACUCUACCCUGUGCUCUGCGGUGACCUAAACAGGAUGGAAAUCCAAAAAAGAGGUGGUGUUAUACACACACACACACACAUAUAUACAUUUAUAGCUGAUUCACUUUGCUGUACAACAAAACUAACACAACUUUGUAAAGCAACUAUAUUCCAAUAAAAAUUAUUAAAAGAAAAGAAGGUUUUAUAUACAUUAAAACCCCCAUCACCACAGCCAUCAAAUCUCAUAAUUCAUGUAGAGAGAUUAUGAGAGAGGAAGAGACUGAAAGUGCAAAUGAGUCUUUUCCUUCCAAGUAGGAGAUGUUUGCCCUUGGUAGUGUCAUAUCAUGAUUUUACUUUUCCUCAUGAGUUUUUGACACCUUGUUAUACAGCAUGACCCAUUAGCUCUGAAAAAGCCUCAGGAAUAUCUGGUUGCUCCCAACAUGUUAGAACCAAGAAUAAUUCUCAAAUUCUUCCAUGUUCAAAAAUACUAAGACUAAACUUUCCAGCUUGACACCAGGGCUUCCCUGGUGGCUCAGA